rnacentral:rRNA from 1 species
UACGUAGGGUGCAGGCGUUAAUCGGAAUUACUGGGCGUAAAGCGUGCGCAGGCGGCUAUGCAAGACAGAUGUGAAAUCCCCGGGCUCAACCUGGGAACCUGCAUUUGUGACUGCAUGGCUAGAGUGCGGCAGGAGGGGGAUGGAAUUCCGCGUGUAGCAGUGAAAUGCGUAGAUAUGCGGAGGAACACCGAUGGCGAAGGCAAUCCCCUGGGCCUGCAACUGACGCUCAUGCACGAAAGCGUGGGGA